UACGUAGGGUGCAAGCGUUGUCCGGAAUUAUUGGGCGUAAAGAGCUCGUAGGCGGUUUGUCGCGUCUGCUGUGAAAACUCGGGGCUUAACUCCGGGCCUGCAGUGGGUACGGGCAGACUAGAGUGCGGUAGGGGAGACUGGAAUUCCUGGUGUAGCGGUGAAAUGCGCAGAUAUCAGGAGAACACCAGUGGCGAAAGCAGCUCUCUGGGACGUACUGACGCUGAGCAGCGAAAGCGUGGGGAGCAACGGG
rnacentral:rRNA from 1 species